rnacentral:rRNA from 1 species
ACACAUGCAAGUCGAACGGUGAAGAGAGCUUGCUCUCUGGAUCAGUGGCGAACGGGUGAGUAACACGUGAGCAAUCUGCCCUUGACUCUGGGAUAAGCGCUGGAAACGGCGUCUAAUACCGGAUACGAGCUGCGAAGGCAUCUUCAGCAGCUGGAAAGAACUUCGGUCAAGGAUGAGCUCGCGGCCUAUCAGCUUGUUGGUGAGGUAAUGGCUCACCAAGGCGUCGACGGGUAGCCGGCCUGAGAGGGUGACCGGCCACACUGGGACUGAGACACGGCCCAGACUCCUACGGGAGGCAGCAGUGGGGAAUAUUGCACAAUGGGCGCAAGCCUGAUGCAGCAACGCCGCGUGAGGGACGACGGCCUUCGGGUUGUAAACCUCUUUUAGCAGGGAAGAAGCGAAAGUGACGGUACCUGCAGAAAAAGCACCGGCUAACUACGUGCCAGCAGCCGCGGUAAUACGUAGGGUGCAAGCGUUAUCCGGAAUUAUUGGGCGUAAAGAGCUCGUAGGCGGUUUGUCACGUCUGCUGUGAAAACUGGAGGCUCAACCUCCAGCCUGCAGUGGGUACGGGCAGACUAGAGUGCGGUAGGGGAGAUUGGAAUUCCUGGUGUAGCGGUGGAAUGCGCAGAUAUCAGGAGGAACACCGAUGGCGAAGGCAGAUCUCUGGGCCGUAACUGACGCUGAGGAGCGAAAGGGUGGGGAGCAAACAGGCUUAGAUACCCUGGUAGUCCACCCCGUAAACGUUGGGAACUAGUUGUGGGGUCCAUUCCACGGAUUCCGUGACGCA